rnacentral:rRNA from 1 species
AGUGAACGCUGGCGGUAGGCCUAACACAUGCAAGUCGAACGGCAGCACAGUAAGAGCUUGCUCUUACGGGUGGCGAGUGGCGGACGGGUGAGGAAUACAUCGGAAUCUACUUUUUCGUGGGGGAUAACGUAAGGAAACUUACGCUAAUACCGCAUACGACCUACGGGUGAAAGCAGGGGAUCUUCGGACCUUGCGCGAUUGAAUGAGCCGAUGUCGGAUUAGCUGGUUGGCGGGGUAAAGGCCCACCAAGGCGACGAUCCGUAGCUGGUCUGAGAGGAUGAUCAGCCACACUGGAACUGAGACACGGUCCAGACUCCUACGGGAGGCAGCAGUGGGGAAUAUUGGACAAUGGGCGCAAGCCUGAUCCAGCCAUACCGCGUGGGUGAAGAAGGCCUUCGGGUUGUAAAGCCCUUUUGUUGGGAAAGAAAAGCAGCAGGUUAAUACCCCGCUGUUCUGACGGUACCCAAAGAAUAAGCACCGGCUAACUUCGUG